ensembl:lncRNA
AUGAGUCAGGCUUUUUCAGCCGCUAUUUCCUCGUCCCCAAUAGAGACGGCGGGCCAAACCCAUUCUAGAUCUCAGACAUCUGAACAGCUCGCUUAUGUGCCGGUAGUCCAAGAUGAUGACGGUCAAGAAAAUUCUCACGCAUAUUUGCCCCGAGGAUUGGUUUUUGACCCUGGAUUUGAAAGAUGCUUACGUUCACAUCCACAUAGCCCCCCGUCACAGACCGUUCUUGAGAUUCGCGUUCGAGGGAGUGGCCUAUCAGUAUGCAGUCCUUCUGUUGGACUGUCCCGGGCCCCACGCACUUUUACGAAGUGCAUUGCCGUGGCUCUGUCCCCUCUCAGGCAGAUGGGAAUCCGCGUAUUGAACUACCUCAACGAUUGGCUGGUUUUAGCCAGAUCGGAACGGGAACUGAAUGCUCACAAAGAGCUGCUGCUCAAAGUGCCUCGGGUUGGUCAGUUGUUGCCCAGAAGGCGAACUGUCUUUCUGGGAACGGUUCUAGACUCCGCCCUAAUGCGGGCAUGGAUCUCGCCAGAUCUGUCCCUGACAAUUCAGCGAUUGACGGCUUCCCUCAAAGCGGGGACGACAUGCCCCCUGAAGGUUUUUCAGAGGCUGCGCGGCCCCAUGGCCGCUGUCGCCUCUGUAACUCCGCUGGGCCUGCGCCACAUGUGGCCCCUCCAAUUUUGGCUAAAAGCCCAAGGAUGGGCGUCCUUCCUUCCAGCCAUCAAAGGCCACCACAUCCUGGUCCAUUCAGACAGCACGACAGUGGUGUCUUAUAUCAAUCACCAAUGUGGUCUCAAGUCUCACGCCUUAUACAGAUUGGCUCGUCGCCUUCUCUGGGCACAGAAAGAACUCUCGCUAAGGGCGGUUCAUGUGCCAGGCAAGAUGAACCUGGGAUCGGACAUGCUGUCCAGAGGCAAGGUAGCCCCAGGCGAUUGGGCGCUGUACUCUCAGACGGUACAGCGAAUUUGGGCGGUCUCUGGGAAGGCAGAGUUUGACCUCUUUGCCUCAGAAGACAACUCUCAUUGCCCAACAUUUUUCUCGAUACGGAGAGAUGCCCUGGCCCACGACUGGCCCAGGGCUCGUCUGUAUGCAUUCCCUCCUAUCGCCCCGAUUCCCCAGAUCAUCAGGCGAGUCAAGGAAACCAAAUGCUCCCUCCUCCUAGUAGCUCUGCUCUGGAAGAACCAGGCUUGGUUACCAGAGCUGAUGCCACUGGUGACGAGGGCCCCGUGGCCCAUCCCGUUGAAGAGGGACCUUCUCUCACAGGCAAAAGGCAUGAUUUGGCAUCCCCGCCCAGAGUUGUGGAGCCUUCAUGUCUGGUGCCUUGACGGAAGUCUGACAGGCUCCCAGCGAGAGUAA